rnacentral:rRNA from 1 species
UCCAGACUCCUACGGGAGGCAGCAGUGGGGAAUAUUGCACAAUGGGGGAAACCCUGAUGCAGCAACGCCGCGUGAAGGAAGACGGUUUUCGGAUUGUAAACUUCUGUUCUUAGUGAAGAAGAAUGACGGUAGCUAAGGAGCAAGCCACGGCUAACUACGUGCCAGCAGCCGCGGUAAUACGUAGGUGGCAAGCGUUGUCCGGAAUUACUGGGUGUAAAGGGAGCGCAGGCGGGAAGCCAAGUCAGCUGUGAAAACUACGGGCUUAACUUGUAGACUGCAGUUGAAACUGGGUGUCUUGAGGGCAGGAGAGGAAAGUGGAAUUCCUAGUGUAGCGGUGAAAUGCGUAGAUAUUAGGAGGAACACCAGUGGCGAAGGCGACUUUCUGGACUGUACCUGACGCUGAGGCGCGAAAGCGUGGGUAGCGAACGGGAUUAGAUACCCCCGUAA